rnacentral:rRNA from 1 species
UUUAAAUUUAGAGUUUGAUCCUGGCUCAGGACGAACGCUGGCGGCGUGCUUAACACAUGCAAGUCGAGCGAUGAAGCUUCCUUCGGGGAGUGGAUUAGCGGCGGACGGGUGAGUAACACGUGGGUAACCUGCCUCAAAGUGGGGGAUAGCCUUCCGAAAGGAAGAUUAAUACCGCAUAAUAUAAGAGAAUCGCAUGAUUUUCUUAUCAAAGAUUUAUUGCUUUGAGAUGGACCCGCGGCGCAUUAGCUAGUUGGUAAGGUAACGGCUUACCAAGGCAACGAUGCGUAGCCGACCUGAGAGGGUGAUCGGCCACAUUGGAACUGAGACACGGUCCAGACUCCUACG